UUUUUCUCCAAUUGUAACAAAUAUACAUUUCUCUGAUCUAAGAAUUUUUAAAUUUCGAAAUUUUAAAAAAAAAGAAAAUGGAGAUCGCACAAAUUGAAAAAAUUAGAAUUACUAUUUAAUCCUUUUGAAAAGGAGAUUACAAGCAUUAAUAUGAUAGGAUGGAUUAGAUAAUGAAUUUCAAAAGAAUUCUUUUCUAAUUGUAAUAAAUAUAUAUUUCUCUGAUCCAAUAGUUUUUAAAUAAGAAAUCAAAGUUAUCUAAUCUUUUGAAAAGAGGAUUAGAAGCAUGCUCGAAAUACACUUUAAAAACGAUGUUAUUUAUGGUUUGAUCCGAUAUCUCUCUGUGGAUCGCGAGUUGUAAUUGUAUGUAAUAAGAAGAAAAAAGAAAAAAAAAUGCAGAAAAAAAAAUGUGUGUUUGUGCAGGAUGUGAUCGUGCGUAUGAGUUACUUGGAAUGACUGUGAAUUAAAAGAGACUGCGUAAUAGACAUAUGUGAUAGGCACCAUGUGCAGACUUCAGUAUUAUUUUGCAGUUAAAUGGGGGAAAGGAAAACACAUAAAACACAUGGAUCUGUACGUUAGUUAGAUACUCUUUAACAAAAAAGAAAAAGAAAAAAAAAUACGUCUGUUUCGUUGUUCGUGAAAAACUUUUAAAAAGAUGAAGGGAACGACUUCCGACCUGCCCCUGAUCGCGAAACAUAACUGUCCUUCUUGAUCGAAAUAUUUCGAUAUGUUUCAAGACACGUAGUUCGUGAAAACCGAAGUUCUAUCAUUUUCUUUGCGCCGUCCUCGUUAGGAAAGAAAAAAAUAAAUAAAUCAGAUCCGAUUCUAGAUGCUUACGAAGCAUAUGGCUAUAUCUCUAUAAUUUUAAAAAAUAGUCAAAUAGAUAUUUAAUAAGAACCUAAUAUAUUUCGUCGUAAAAUCUCGUCGAAGAAAUGUUGGACAUUUUGGAUAUUUUGAUUAAGAAGAAUAGUAUUCGAAUGCGUUUCGAGCUCCCUCGAGAGGAAGAGAGAGAUCUCACGAGCAUUUAACACAUUCGAGACGAUAUUCUAAAAUGACGGAUAAAAAAAGAAUUUUCUACGUAUCCUUUCCUUUGUGCACGCUUGUUCUAUAUGAUACGAGCGUCUUCGUCGAUAUACCUCAAUAUUACAUUUCUUUUAUAAUUUUCUUUUUCGAUUUGAUCCGAAGAUUUGCCGCCCCUUCCAAUCUCGAAUGUGUUAAUAUUUCGCGGGAAAGGAAAAAAAAAGAAUGAUAAAUGAUAAACAAAACAAAUGAAAGGCAUGCGAGAAAAUGUGCGUGCGCGAAAGAUGAUGAUGAUGAUGAUGAUGAUGAUGACUCUCUGACAGUAUAAUUGUGCGUGUGAGAGAGAGAGAGAGAGAGAGAGAGAGAGAGAGAGAGAGAGAGAGAGAGAGAGAUAUGCCUCCGAAAAAAUAAUUAUUUUUAAUUUACGUGAAACUACACUUGUAUAUAGGAUCAAAGAGCGCGCAAUCGAUUAUUUAUGCGUAAUAUAUACAUACAUACAUAUAUAUAUAUAUUAUAUAUAUUUAUCGAUAAUUGUGCAACGCGAAUAUUGUUCUUCGGAUACAACCUUUAAUCGAGUGAUAGAAAAAUGGAAUAAGAUUAAAAACUUGCGAGGGUGCGAGAAAUUAGUGAGAACAAGAGACUGCGUGAAUAUGUUUGGAAGUGAGAGAAAGAGAAAGAAAUAAAUUUGAAACGAAAGUAAAA
rnacentral:lncRNA from 1 species